CUUCUUGAGAGUCUUUUUCAAAAAGUCCCAGGGACUAGAAAAAGUCCUAGGACUAGAGAAACAAACACCACCUUAAGGUGACGCGUGUGUUAAAUAAAACUGAUGUUGAAGUAAUUAAGCUCAAAAGAUGAACAUUGAUAUGCUUUCUAAGUUUAACAAAACCCUGUCAGUAAAACUGCUAGGCCUAGGUUGACCUUAUUUGCACAAUAUGCAAAAACAAAUAUUUAUCAGGACAACUAUUAUAACAUAUAUGAGACAUCUCAUUUGUUAUGGUUUCCUGUCUUUCACACAAGAUAAAUGUUAUUUGAGCUAAUUUCUAUGUGCAGGUAUGAGGAUGUAGGUAUGAAGGAGUAGCUCGACAAUUACUUACAAAAAGGCUUGGGCACUCUCAUAAAUGGCUCCAUUUUUGUUUACCUUCUAUUGAUCUGUAACAAAGAUGAUUUUUCUGUUGCCGUUGAGGAUACAAAGAUCUAGCUUGACUGGACUCUAGAUCACGAACAAUUUAGUCUUGGCCCUUAAUUAGGAUGGCUAAAUUACAUUUGCGUAUCAUUUGAUGGAUCUUUGAUAUGAGAAUUAUGAAUUUUAUGAAUCUACAUAUUAUAUGUAUUGUUUUGAAUAUUGUAAUUGAA